GGCUCCUCCAUGGACAGGCAUGCUGCAGAAACAUUUUGAACCGUCACUGUAUUGUAUACCUGACAACGUAGAUGAGGAAGACAGUGCAACACCUUCGCCUUCAUGGCUGAUCAAAACUGAACAUUCAAAUUUGAACAAAGAGGGACCACAUCCCACCUUGAGGAGAACAGACCUGCAGGUAAGAACAGAUGCAGCUCUAUUCAUUAUCUAUGGAGGAAUGUCAGGAUUCAGAUCUGUGAUUGCCAUUCACUGCCACACGCUCCAACACACUCCACAAACCAAUUAAACCAAAUUGACAGGAUUGUUCAAACCGGUCUGAUUUGUCAGUUCCCCCUCCACACACACACCCAAGUAGACACUCAAAUAUACACACCCUUUGCAUGGGAUUACUUUACAUCAGACAGUGUGUCUGUGUUUGCUUUUUUAAGUGUCUUAACCUCAGCUGGAGAAACUGUGUUUGUCAAAUACUUGCUAUAUUUUGUUCUGUCUUGAACACAAAGGAGAACAGGAGGAAUAUAGUUCUAAAUUUUAAAGUAAAAUUUUUACUCACAGUUUUUUACUCUAAUUUCAGCAGCAUUAAAGUUGGGGUAGGCAGGAUUCCAUUUAAAAGCAUCUUUUUUGUGGUAUAUAUACAAAAAAGCUUUUAAUAUCAGUCAAUAGCUAUUAGUUAUUGAUGACAUUUGGCCAUAUAAUGAUAUCGCUGUGUUCUCCUAUGCCUGCGUAGUCAACAUAUUAAAUUUUUUGAGCAGCCUGCUCUUUCUGACUGUAAACAAAGCCAUUCUCAGCCUCCCCCAACGUGAUGGGUUGCAGGGCUCUCAAGUCUUACGCAUUCAGCGUGUGACACACGCAUUCCCACCCGUUCACACGCCACACAUUGUAUUUCUCACGCAUUUAAAUGAACAUCAUGUUGUUCACCAAGUUGCACCUCUUUAACUAUGGAACAGGUAGAAAUCAGAGUUCCUCCGAGAGUUCAGAAGCUGCGUGCCACGUGCAAGCCAAUCAAAUUAAGGAUAUCUACUGAACAGCCAAUCAAAAAGCAGCAUUGUUGUAUCCGGGUAGAUUUUGAUAUCUUGCGGUUUGACUACAGAAGAAGACAGACACUCGCCGAAAUAGAGCAGGUUUUUAUAAGGACGAGAAAGACCCGAUGAUUACAGUAAGUCAGUAAUCUACACAUGCAGAGACCUCAACACCUCAUGGCAUAUAAACUCAUGUGAUAAACUAAAGCCCUAUGCUAUUGCUAUUAACAGCUGUAUUGAAGAAUUUAGCCUCUGUACAGCCAUUUUCCCCUCCACAAAAGCAGCAUUUCUCAUAUAUUCUUUUUAAAGUUCUGAUACUCAUGACAGUGUAAUGCUGAUGUACCAAAGGAUUAAGUAUCUCUAUGUUUGAGAAACCUCUACUAAAGUACAAUUCAUCUAAAUGCUCCACAGUGCUGAUUUUAACAACUCACCUCCACAACAGGUAACUUUACGACUUUAGUCUUAUUCUCUUAAAUAAUAACUUUAUUCUCUAAGAUUUAAAAACCUUUUUUUUUCUUAAUGUGGCCCUCAUACUCCGUUGUAUUUAAGAGAUUAUUAUACUAAGCUUAGUUCAAAACUUGAGAGCCCUGGGGUUGUGAGGCGGACACUGCUCUCUCGUGCUGUGAGACACGCUCCACAUCCUCCAAUAACGUGCAUGAGUGUGCUACAACAUCAGACAGUAGAUAGCAACCAGAAAGUACGGAAAAAUGUCUGAAUCCUCCUUUGGCCACAACUGCCAACACAAGCAAGAAAACAGUAAAUACCGGAGACUCUGGUGAAAUUAAGGGCAUUUAAAAAGGAGGUAGACCAGACAAGAGCUAAAAACUGCUUUAGCAAAGUAAGCCAAGUGUCUGUAACAGAAGUGUUUCUGUCAAAUGGGACCUGCUGCGCAUUGUAGCGCAGCUAAACUGUUGACCUCGGGUCCUGGACUAUGUCACUUUAUCCUAGUUGUAGAAGUCCUGCAAACAUUGUGUUUGCUGGUAGUCUGUUGGCAUCUACAGUAGCACCAAUGCUUUUUACUUUCACAUUGACUGGGCCCCAUUUGUAAUCAUCUGAAGUAUUUAUCUGAAUUAUAUCUGAAUUUAGCUGGAACGAUACGGGCAAGCACAAGCUUCUGUUUGUGGGCGGGGCUUGCUGCAGCUGAGAGGGAGGGGAGAGGAGGAGCUAAGGGAUAAACUGGUUGGGAAGGGUAGAGUUUAAAUUCAAGAUUUCUCCCAAAUACUGGCACUUCCUCAGAUCCUGCCUACCCCACCUUUAAUUCUGUUUACAUGAACUUCGCAUAUUCCAGUUUUAUAUCCGUACAUGUAAACAUCAUUUCCUCACUUCAGAAACCAGGAUAAAUCUAGAUCCUGUUGUAGAGAAAACUGAUUGAGCUACUUUGUUGUUUCCUGGUUGAAGUGUUACAUAACAAAACAGACAGCAAAAUGAUUUAGCAAGUGGUUAAUGGGACAUCAUUUUAACAGCACUGUGCUGUUUGUCUGGAAAGUUUUGUGUUUUUUAAUUUAUUUCUUCAUCUAUCAAAGUUUAUUUACUACCUGGCUUUCUAGUUGCACGUUCAUGCUGUUCAACCACCAGCUUACGUCACAACAUACAAACACUGGAACAUGCACUGAAUGCUUGGAUCAAUUUUAGCUAGAUAGAGCCAAAUACAUGACAAAGAAAAUUGAUCCCAAACCAUAUCAUCCAGGUAUGUUAGUCUGACCAUGAGAAGUUUGAUUUCAGUGGGAUCUGGUAGAAGUUUGGGUGGCAGCUGCAGACUACCUGCACUGGCCGAGUGAUAUAACAAAAGAAAAACAACAGCAGCAACAAAAGUGUCUUCAAGAGGAACAAACUUGAAUAGAUGACAACUCGAUCUUACCAGACACAGCUGCACAUCUUCACACAUUGCUUCGUCCCUGCACAGUGGCAGAAACGAAGUUCAGAAGUGAGGAGAUUUGAAUGUUUUACUGUUGCUCUCAAUGAAAAUGAGGCAGAUGUGUUGUUUCUGCAUUUUGAAAAACCUGAUAUUACCACCUGACACCUGAAAUAGAAAAGGUGUGGUGAGACGGCGCCUCCUUUUGUUUUAUUUUGGUUGGACUUCCUGUGUUUCUUUGUUUGCCAGGUCUGGCUUGACUCUCUUCCAGAGCUCCCUCCCCUCCCCCGGUCACUGAGGCUGAGUGAGACUCCACACCUGCUCUACAUCUGCAAUCAAGGCACUUUAAGAAGCUAGCAGCCCUCAGUCUCAGCGCCUGAGUAUUGUCUUCACUCGCAAGUGGUACAGAUGUGUCUCCUGGCCUUCCUCAGAUAAUUACUUGUGACUUUUUACUCCCCAUGAUCCCUUGUAUGUCUUCUCACCUCCUUCUCCGCAGUGUCUCCAGCCCACACAAUAGCCAGCCAGCAAACAGGACUUUUUCCUCGUGCUUUGUUUCCUUGAGUUGGACAUUAAACCCUUUUUUUUUUUUUUUUUUUAAAUUUGCCGUCUGCUUCUGGGUCCACAAAAUACACCGCAUGCCACAAAAGGACACUGACAUUGGUGAUAAGAAGAGCAUCUUAAUUCAGGGGCAUCCAAGAAACUGGGUUUUAUUUCU